rnacentral:lncRNA from 1 species
GGGAGCCCAGGCAGAGGAGGCGCCCAGAGCGAGCGAGGGCUGUGAGGACUGCCAGCACGCUGUCACCUCUCACUCAUAUAGAUUGCCAAUCUAUUUGUGAACCAGGUUUGCUGGAGUUUGGAUUUACUACUGAGUCAUAUUUGGAGCAUGCUGGAAUCUUACAACUGAGAUUACCGAGUCAGAAACUAGUUUGACUGUUCUCGUCGGCAUGGUUGAGACAUUAUCCCUGGCAGAAGGCUGGACUGGCAUGGACAUCAUUUGAUGAGUUCGUCUCCUCUUAACAAUCAAAGCCUGUUUUCCAGUGCGAAUAAACUGUUGCCUUAUAUAUUGUUUUCCCAUUUUUAUAGUUGUUUACUGCAAAAAAGAGUCUGGUACAAGUUACUUUGCUAAAACCUUGAUAAAGUUUUAUUCUACGAUUCUUCAAUCAAUGUUUCUGUUUUGUUUAUUCUGUUAUCUCUGUUGUGUCAUACCAUAAUUCUCUCAUUAAUAGCUCAUAUUCUUUUUCAUAGCUAUUCAAUUCUUUAGCAGUUUCUACUUUUAUGUUUGGGAGAAAAUUGAAAGCUUGAUUUCUUAUUUUGACAAGUUUUCUAAAGGUUUCAGCAUGCAAUAUUUUUUUUCAUAGCCUUACAGUUUGUAAUAGUUCAUCUGAUUGUAAAGCUCUUACAAUCUUUCCUGAUUUUAAGUCAUUUUAACAACGACUUUCUCUCUUUUUUAUUUUUAAGAAACAAUGUCCUCCUUUUCAUUUGUUGAGAACUCUACUCAGCUUUUAAAAAACUUCCUGUGUAUGUACCUUAAUUCUUUUGACAAUAAAACAUUACUCUGAAUAUUCAAAGGGUCUUUCUUCUUUAGAAUGGUGGUUCCAAAGAGCUAUAUUUUCCUACAUUUGGUGAUCUUUCUUUUGUAAAUUUGGAACUUGGUUUAUAGCUUUUUAAAAAGGUUUUACCAACUACUAAUAUGGAACCACAUGCUGUUUUCUUUAUGAGUGGAUUUUUCAGACAUUCUGUUAAUGCAAACCAGACGUUCAUGACUGCAUCAGUCUAUGAAAGCUGAGAGAUACCUGGGGCCAUAGGCAUUCUCUCCAGUACAAGUUGCCUCUUCUUUUCCUUUGCCAUGUUUAAUGAAGUUCACUUAUUCAUGUCAAAAUACUUUUUUUUCCUUCACCCAUUCACUUUCUCCUUGUUGUCCUUCAGCCUCAUCCCACCUCCUCCUCUACUCACACACAAACACAUUCCAAGCCUGAUCCCUGGGACUUGCCCAAGGCAGGUGGGAGUUCAUUUGUUCUCUAAAUGUUUUACCCCGCACCCUACCUCCUAACCCCCUGCCCCUCCACCUGGCUCCCCCACAUUUCCCUCUAAGAGGGAGUUGUAAGAUGGUUUAUCCUCAGGCACUUCCACUUAUCUCCUGGGCAUAUGCCCUUUCUCAGAAAAAGUAGUAAGUUGGAAUAUUACAACAUCCUCUGAUGUAAUGUAGCCACUCACUUAGUUUACAAAUCAGAAAUCAGUGGUAGUUUUUGUUGUUUUGUCAACAUCCUGAAGAAUUAAAUACGGAUACUCCUAUAUACAAACAUUUUACUCCCAUCUUUAUAUUCUUUUUUUUUCUGUUUGCCAUUCUAAUUGAAAUCGAGUGGUAGAAAGCAACAUAGAUAGGCUCAUUGUCAUCUUACCCAGGAAAUAAAGGAAAACUUACUGAAUGCAAACUUGGUACUGUACACUAGAAUGUAAAAGCUCACUUCCAGCUUAGUAAAGGACCAAGAAAGCUACUACAAAGCGAAUUCAAGCACUGGAGCUACUCUACUGAACCACGUAGAAUCCUGUCCUCCCUCACCAUGUCCACAAGGACACAGUAUGGGGUAGAAAGGCAACACAUGCCUGUGCAGAAGGAAAGAGCAGGUUACUGUAUUAGAAAAGCCAUUUGUGUGAGGCCAAAUCGUGAUUCUGACAGCCCAAUUAUGACAAGUGACAUAUUUACAAGGUGCCAAUCUGUCAAAUAAAUGGAGACUAAAUUGGCUCUGGAAUAAUAGCUUAUAAUUCUUUCUGCUGCUUUCUUUGACUGAUGUGCUUUAUUUUUACCUUUUUUUUUUUUCUUCACAUACUUCAGCUGAUUUGUGAGUCCAGGAAAUGGUAGGUGCAUCUUUAAUCCAGUUCAAAGGGGCAAAGGACUAGCAUUUACAGUCCACAUAUGAUCAGCUUCGGUGCUAAUUUAAUUACAGAAAUGACCUCUGUUAAUCAUUAUAACAUUUAAUCAUGUAGGUAUUAUUCCUACUUCCUACUUUAAAAAUGUUUGAAGAAGCACCAGUGUCCAUCAAAUAGCUCAUAAUUACACAGUUCAAAGGGGAAGAAUAUUUGUAUUUGAUGACUUAUUUCUUUGACUCAUCAUUCUAUGUCAUGACAGGUAGUUAAUUGUUACUACUUAACUCCACUGCAGUUACUAGUCACACACCUCUCUUCCAUAGUAAAACUCUAUGAGGGAAAAGACUGUUUUAUCUAUUCAUUGCUUACUCAGAAACUUAGUACAGUGGAAAUCAGAAAACAUUUAUUUAAUUCCAAAGCCCAUAGAAUAACAUUAGUAAAUUGACUUGGAGGUUGAGACUUAAGUUAUAGAAAGGUCUCUCUCUACUUUUCGUUCAGUGAUUCUUUCAUCUGUACAAUGGGUCUAUUAUCUGACCUACAGGACUAUUGUAAGGAACAUAAAUAGGAUGGAAUAGAAAACAAUGCAAUGCAAUAAGGAGAAAAUAUCAGAAUAUAACAUAGAUAUAGAUGAUAUCUAUAGUUCUUUCUAAAACAUCAGCACCUUCCAAACCCCACGUACAUGCAUAUGCACGCACGCACAUUGAAAUGUAGUAUUAUCUGGGAAUCGGAUCAAAAUUUUAGUACCGGUAGGGACUGCACUUGUUUGUUUGUUUGUCUGUUUUUGUUUUUUUGUUGUUGUUGUUUUGAGAUAGUCUC